rnacentral:rRNA from 1 species
UACGUAGGGUGCGAGCGUUAUUCGGAAUUACUGGGCGUAAAGCGUGCGCAGGCGGUUUUGUAAGCCAGAUGUGAAAUCCCCGGGCUUAACCUGGGAAUGGCAUUUGGGACUGCAAGGCUUGAGUGCGGCAGAGGAGACUGGAAUUCCUGGUGUAGCAGUGAAAUGCGUAGAUAUCAGGAGGAAUACCGAUGGCGAAGGCAGGUCUCUGGGCUGACACUGACGCUCAUGCACGAAAGCGUGGGGAGCAAACAGG